ensembl:snoRNA
GGGGUAUGCUCAGAGCAGGAAACUUGAAGACUGGCUCCUCUGUUUAUAACAUAUUCAACCAGAAUCUGGGGUUACUCCUUUCGGAAGCAGGACACACUGGCCUUCUUCUGCCACCAGACCCUCUAUCU